CAAUUUCGACUACAUGUAUAUCGAAAUACAUCAAAUAGACUUUUUUGUAAUAUGUAAAUUCACUGAGUGAUAUAGAUUCUUAAAACUCAAAUUUCAGCAGUAUAUUAAUUUUUUUCGAUUGAGACACUGAGAGUGUAACAAACACAGGGAUUUUUGUCCCACCUCUGUUUUUUUUUUGAUGAAUUUCGUCUGUAAAUUUUUUG
rnacentral:lncRNA from 1 species